CCUACGGGCGGCAGCAGUGAGGAAUAUUGGUCAAUGGACGAAACUCUGAACCAGCCAAGUAGCGUGCAGGAUGACUGCCCUAUGGGUUGUAAACUUCUUUUAUAUGGGAAUAAAAUGUUCCACGUGUGGGUUUUUGUAUGUACCAUAUGAAUAAGGAUCGGCUAAUUCCGUGCCAGCAGCCGCGGUAAUACGGAGGAUCCGAGCGUUAUCCGGAUUUAUUGGGUUUAAAGGGAGCGUAGGUGGAUUGUUAAGUCAGUUGUGAAAGUUUGCGGCUCAACCGUAAAAUUGCAGUUGAAACUGGCAGUCUUGAGUACAGUAGAGGUGGGCGGAAUUCGUGGUGUAGCGGUGAAAUGCUUAGAUAUCACGAAGAACUCCGAUUGCGAAGGCAGCUCACUGGACUGCAACUGACACUGAGGCUCGAAAGUGUGGGUAUCAAACAGGAUUAGAUACCCGAGUAGUC
rnacentral:rRNA from 1 species